rnacentral:rRNA from 1 species
GACGAACGCUGGCGGCGUGCUUAACACAUGCAAGUCGAACGGAAAGGCCCUGCUUGCAGGGUGCUCGAGUGGCGAACGGGUGAGUAACACGUGGGUGAUCUGCCCCUUACUUUGGGAUAAGCCUGGGAAACUGGGUCUAAUACUGGAUAGGACCAUGCUGUAGGUGGUGUGGUGGAAAGAUUAGUUUCGGUAAGGGAUGAGCUCGCGGCCUAUCAGCUUGUUGGUGGGGUAAUGGCCUACCAAGGCGUCGACGGGUAGCCGGCCUGAGAGGGUGGACGGCCACAUUGGGACUGAGGUACGGCCCAGACUCCUACGGGAGGCAGCAGUGGGGAAUAUUGCAGAAUGGGGGCAAGCCGGAUGCAGCGACGCCGCGGGGGGGAUGACGGCCUUCGGGUUGUAAACUCCUUUCAGCCAUGACGAAGCCCUUGUGGUGACGGUAGUGGUAGAAGAAGCACCGGCUAACUACGUG